rnacentral:rRNA from 1 species
AGAGUUUGAUCAUGGCUCAGGAUAAACGCUGGCGGCGUGCCUAACACAUGCAAGUCGAACGCCCUGCGUAAGCAGGGAGUGGCGGACGGGUGAGGAACACGUGGGUACCUACCUCUAGUUUGGAAUACCGGCGAGAAAUCGCCGACAAUACCGCAUACGCUCGGGCAACCGAGGAAAGCUCGCAAGAGCGCUGGAGGAUG